rnacentral:rRNA from 1 species
AGUGAACGCUGGCGGUAGGCUUAACACAUGCAAGUCGAACGGCAGCACAGUAAGAGCUUGCUCUUACGGGUGGCGAGUGGCGGACGGGUGAGGAAUACAUCGGAAUCUACUUUUUCGUGGGGGAUAACGUAGGGAAACUUACGCUAAUACCGCAUACGACCUACGGGGGAAAGCAGGGGAACUUCGGACCUUGCGGGAUUGAAUGAGCGGAUGUCGGAUUAGCUAGUUGGCGGGGUAAAGGCCCAGCAAGGCGACGAUCCGUAGCUGGUCUGAGAGGAUGGUCAGCCACACUGGAACUGAGACACGGUCCAGACUCCUACGGGAGGCAGCAGUGGGGAAUAUUAGACAAUGGGGGCAAGCCUGAUCCAACCAUACCGCGUGGGUGAAGAAGGCCUUCGGGUUGUAAAGCCCUUUUGUUGGGAAAGAAAAGCAGCAGGUUAAUACCCCGCUGUUCUGACGGUACCCAAAGAAUAAGCACCGGCUAACUUCGUG